rnacentral:rRNA from 1 species
AUUGAACGCUGGCGGCAGGCCUAACACAUGCAAGUCGAACGGUAACAGGAAGCAGCUUGCUGCUUUGCUGACGAGUGGCGGACGGGUGAGUAAUGUCUGGGAAACUGCCCGAUGGAGGGGGAUAACUACUGGAAACGGUAGCUAAUACCGCAUAACGUCGCAAGCCCAAAGAGGGGGACCUUAGGGCCUCUUGCCAUCGGAUGUGCCCAGAUGGGAUUAGCUAGUAGGUGGGGUAACGGCUCACCUAGGCGACGAUCCCUAGCUGGUCUGAGAGGAUGACCAGCCACACUGGAACUGAGACACGGUCCAGACUCCUACGGGAGGCAGCAGUGGGGAAUAUUGCACAAUGGGCGAAAGCCUGAUGCAGCCAUGCCGCGUGUAUGAAGAAGGCCUUCGGGUUGUAAAGUACUUUCAGCGGGGAGGAAGGGAGUAAAGUUAAUACCUGUGCUCAUUGACGUUACCCGCAGAAGAAGCACCGGCUAACUCCGUG